UGGGGAAUCUUGCGCAAUGCGCGAAAGCGUGACGCAGCAACGCCGCGUGAGGGAAGACGGCCUUCGGGUUGUAAACCUCUUUCAGGAGGGACGAAGGCCCAUCCGCGAAUAGCGAGGUGGGUUGACGGUACCUCCAGAAGAAGCCCCGGCUAACUACGUGCCAGCAGCCGCGGUAAUACGUAGGGGGCAAGCGUUGUCCGGAAUCAUUGGGCGUAAAGCGCGCGUAGGCGGCCCGAUAAGUCCGCUGUAAAAGUCAAAGGCUCAACCUUUGAAUGCCGGUGGAUACUGUCGGGCUAGAGUCCGGAAGAGGCGAGUGGAAUUCCUGGUGUAGCGGUGGAAUGCGCAGAUAUCAGGAGGAACACCAAUAGCGAAGGCAGCUCGCUGGGACGGUACUGACGCUAAGGCGCGAAAGCGUGGGGAGCAAACAGGAUUAGAUACCCCCGUAGUCC
rnacentral:rRNA from 1 species